rnacentral:pre_miRNA from 1 species
GGGGGGAGGCCGGAUCCUGGGCUGUGUCCCCCGCGCCCUUUGCUCCUGGUCUGCGCUGUUUGAUUCGCGCUCCCAGCUGGGCAGCCCUCU